rnacentral:misc_RNA from 1 species
GAUGAAGAACGUAGCGAAAUGCGAUAAGUAAUGUGAAUUGCAGAAUUCGGUGAAUCAUCGAAUCUUUGAACGCACAUUGCGCCCCCUGGUAUUCCGGGGGGCAUGCCUGUUCGAGCGUCAUUUCACCACUCAAGCCUCGCUUGGUAUUGGGCAACGCGGUCCGCCGCGUGCCUCAAAUCGACCGGCUGGGUCUUCUGUCCCCUAAGCGUUGUGGAAACUAUUCGCUAAAGGGUGUUCGGGAGGCUACGCCGUAAAACAACCCCAUUUCUAAGGUUGACCUCGGAUCAGGUAGGGAUACCCGCUGAACUUAAGCAUAUCAAUAAGCGGAGGA